CGAGCAGGGACGAAAGUCGGGCUUAGUGAUCCGGUGGUACCGUAUGGAAGGGCCAUCGCUCAACGGAUAAAAGCUACCCUGGGGAUAACAGGCUUAUCUCCCCCAAGAGUCCACAUCGACGGGGAGGUUUGGCACCUCGAUGUCGGCUCAUCGCAUCCUGGGGCUGUAGUCGGUCCCAAGGGUUGGGCUGUUCGCCCAUUAAAGCGGUACGCGAGCUGGGUUCAGAACGUCGUGAGACAGUUCGGUCCCUAUCCGUCGCGGGCGUAGGAAAUUUGAGAGGACCUGUCCUUAGUACGAGAGGACCGGGAUGGACAUACCUCUGGUGUACCAGUUGUGCCGCCAGGCGCAUCGCUGGGUAGCUACGUAUGGAUGUGAUAAACGCUGAAAGCAUCUAAGUGUGAAACACACCUCGAGAUGAGAUUUCCCAUUCCUUUAUGGAAGUAAGACCCCUGAAAGAUGAUCAGGUAGAUAGGUUAGAAGUGGCAGUGCGGUGACGCAUGAAGCGGACUAAUACUAAUCGGUCGAGGACUUAACCAAG
rnacentral:rRNA from 2 species